GGGGCGGCACGAUGUAGCAAUACAUUGGUGGCGACCGGCGCACGGGUGAGUAACGCGUAUGCAACCUACCUAUCAGAGGGGAAUAACCCGGCGAAAGUCGGACUAAUACCGCAUAAAACAGGGGUUCCACAUGGAAAUAUUUGUUAAAGAAUUAUCGCUGAUAGAUGGGCAUGCGUUCCAUUAGAUAGUUGGUGAGGUAACGGCUCACCAAGUCCACGAUGGAUAGGGGUUCUGAGAGGAAGGUCCCCCACACUGGUACUGAGACACGGACCAGACUCCUACGGGAGGCAGCAGUGAGGAAUAUUGGUCAAUGGGCGAGAACCUGAACCAGCCAAGUCGCGUGAAGGAUGAAGGAUCUAUGGUUUGUAAACUUCUUUUAUAUGGGAAUAAAGUGAGGAACGUGUUCCUUUUUGUAUGUACCAUAUGAAUAAGCAUCGGCUAACUCCGUGCCAGCAGCCGCGGUAAUACGGAGGAUGCGAGCGUUAUCCGGAUUUAUUGGGUUUAAAGGGUGCGUAGGUGGUUAAUUAAGUCAGCGGUGAAAGUUUGUGGCUCAACCAUAAAAUUGCCGUUGAAACUGGUUGACUUGAGUAUAUUUGAGGUAGGCGGAAUGCGUGGUGUAGCGGUGAAAUGCAUAGAUAUCACGCAGAACUCCGAUUGCGAAGGCAGCUUACUAAACUAUAACUGACACUGAAGCACGAAAGCGUGGGGAUCAAACAGGAUUAGAUACCCUGGUAGUCCACGCAGUAAACGAUGAUUACUAGCUGUUUGCGAUACACAGUAAGCGGCACAGCGAAAGCGUUAAGUAAUCCACCUGGGGAGUACGCCGGCAACGGUGAAACUCAAAGGAAUUGACGGGGGCCCGCA
rnacentral:rRNA from 1 species